GCACACGGUGGCUUAGUGGUUAGCACGUUCGCCUCACACCUCCAGGGUCCGGGGUUCAAUUCCCCCCGGUUUUUGCA